ACGGGGCGCAGCAGGCGCGAAACCUUUACACUGCGGGAAACCGCGAUAAGGGGACACCGAGUGCCAGCAUACAAUGCUGGCUGUCCACAUGUGUAAAUAGCAUGUGAUAGCAAGGGCCGGGCAAGACCGGUGCCAGCCGCCGCGGUAACACCGGCGGCCCGAGUGGUAAUCACUAUUAUUGGGUCUAAAGGGUCCGUAGCCGGUUUAAUCAGUCUUCCGGGAAAUCUGACAGCUCAACUGUUAGGCUUCCGGGGGAUACUGUUAGACUUGGGACCGGGAGAGGUAAGAGGUACUACAGGGGUAGGAGUGAAAUCUUGUAAUCCCUGUGGGACCACCAGUGGCGAAGGCGUCUUACCAGAACGGGUCCGACGGUGAGGGACGAAAGCUGGGGGCACGAACCGGAUUAGAUACCCGGGUAGUCCCAGCCGUAAACGAUGCUCGCUAGGUGUCUGGAAUGGUGCGACCGUUUCAGGUGCCGCAGGGAAGCCGUGAAGCGAGCCACCUGGGAAGUACGGCCGCAAGGCUGAAACUUAAAGGAAUUG
rnacentral:rRNA from 1 species